ensembl:lncRNA
CAGUAGUAGUAGUAGUAGUAGUAGAAAUAGUAGUCGUAGUAAUAGUAAUAGUAGAGGUUUUAGUAGUAGUAGUAGUAGUAGUAGUAGUAGCAGUAAUAGUAGAGGUUUUAGUAGCAGUAGUAGUAGUAGUAGUAGUGAUAGUAAUAGUAGUCGUAGUAAUAGUAAUAGUAGAGGUUUUAGUAGUAGUAGUAGUAGUAGUAGUAGUAGUAGUAGUAGUAGUAGACGUAGUAAUAGUAAUAAUAGAGGUUUUAGUAGUAGUAGUAGUAGUAGUAGUAGUAAUAGUAGUAGUGGUAAUGGUGGUGGUUGUGGUAGAGAUGAUACAAUACCAAUUUUUCCUUUUUGAUACCAAUACUGAUACUUGAGUAUCAACUGAUACUGAUAUCCAUCGGUAUUAUUUUCAUUAAAAACUACUAAGCUUUAAAAUAUUUUUUUAAACUGAAGCACAUAGAAGAAUACAUAAAAAAAUACAUAGCUAAAAAUAUGACACACAAAACAAAGCAUUUUUUUCACUGAUUUUUUACAGGCAUUUUUAUAAACCUCUUUCACAUGAAAAUCACUUAUAUUGAACUACAAUAAUAAACAAUCCUAAGAUAACAUACAGUUGAGUCUCUUUAUACAGUAUGUAAACAUUUCCAGUUCCAAAAAAAUCUUUUCCAAUCUUUUUCCUUUGUUACAGGAUCG